GUGACUGUAGCUCAGUUGGUUAGAGCAUCUGCUUGUGGAGCAGAGGGUCGGGCGUUCGAAUCGCCUCAGUCACC
rnacentral:tRNA from 1 species